CACCGCGGUUAUACGAGAGGCCCGAGUUGACAGACGCCGGCGUAAAGAGUGGUUAAGGAAAAUUUUAAACUAAAGCCGAACGCCUUCAAGGCAGUCUGAAUGCAUCCGAAGGUACGAAGCCCCACCACGAAAGUGGCUUUAUGACUCCUGAUCCCACGAAAGCUAAGGAA
rnacentral:rRNA from 1 species